UAUUGAGAGUUUGAUCCUGGCUCAGGACGAACGCUGGCGGCGUGCUUAACACAUGCAAGUCGAGCGAGAUGAACUCCUUCGGGAGGGAUUCUAGCGGCGGACGGGUGAGUAACACGUGGGUAACCUGCCUCAUAGAGGGGAAUAGCCUUUCGAAAGGAAGAUUAAUAC
rnacentral:rRNA from 1 species